GUCCCUAUAGCUCAACGGAAAGAGCGCGGCCCUGCGGAGGCCGAGAUCGGGGUUCAAGUCCUCGUAGGGACACAA
rnacentral:tRNA from 1 species